GACGAACCGAGCGAACGUUAUUCGGAAUCACUGGGCUUAAAGGGCGCGUAGGCGGGCCGUCAAGUCAGGGGUGAAAGCCCCCAGCUCAACUGGGGAAGUGCCUCUGAUACUGGCGGCCUCGAGGGAGGUAGGGGCGUGCGGAACUUCCGGUGGAGCGGUGAAAUGCGUAGAUAUCGGAAGGAACACCGGUGGCGAAAGCGGCGCGCUGGACCUCUUCUGACGCUGAGGCGCGAAAGCCAGGGGAGCAAACGGG
rnacentral:rRNA from 1 species